rnacentral:snoRNA from 1 species
ACCAUUUGAUUCCCUUUCCCAUUGGAUCUGACCACGGGUCUUGGUGGUCAUAAAAGGAGGGAAAGUGAUCCUGAAGCUGCCUCACAGCACUGCAGCCUGGCAUAUGGGCUAGUUUCAAACAGCA